UACGUAGGAUGCGAGCGUUGUCCGGAUUUAUUGGGCGUAAAGCGAACGUAGGUGGCUUCUUAAGUCUGGUCUUAAAGACCGGGGCUCAACCCCGGGAAUGGACUGGAUACUGGGAAGCUAGAGGAUGUUAGAGGAAAGUGGAAUUCCAAGUGUAGCGGUGAAAUGCGUAGAUAUUUGGAGGAACACCAGUGGCGAAAGCGACUUUCUGGGACAUUCCUGACACUGAGGUUCGAAAGCUCGGGGAGCAAAC
rnacentral:rRNA from 1 species